UACAGAGGUCUCAAGCGUUGUUCGGAUUCAUUGGGCGUAAAGGGUGCGUAGGCGGCGCGGUAAGUCGGGUGUGAAAUCUCGGAGCUUAACUCCGAAACUGCAUUCGAUACUGCCGUGCUUGAGGACUGGAGAGGAGACUGGAAUUUUACGGUGUAGCGGUGAAAAUGCGUAGAUAUCGUAAGGAAGACCAGUGGCGAAGGCGGGUCUCUGGACAGUUCCUGACACUGAGGCACGAAGGCCAGGGGAGCAAACGGG
rnacentral:rRNA from 1 species